GAUGAAGAACGCAGCGAAAUGCGAUAAGUAGUGUGAAUUGCAGAAGUACCGUGAAUCAUCGAAUCUUUGAACGCAAAUUGCACUCUCUGGUAUUCCGGGGAGUAUGCCUGUUUGAGGGUCGCUUAACAAACCAUCGAUUUCGUUGCUUUUUUUUUUAAAGUGAUGUUUAUCGGAUUUGAGCCGUCUUUUUUUUUAUUUUUAAGUGGCUUAAAAUUGAUUUUUUUGGUACGAUCGAAGCGUAUUUUUAUGAUCAAUUUUUGGUUAAAGAAACGCACACGUACCGUUAUUUAUAUGAUGUAAUACGUUUGACUAUUGGAUUUAGUUCAUUCGUAUACGAUAUCUUUCAAUAUUUGACCUCAAAUCAGGUAAGAACACCCGCUGAACUUAAGCAUAUCAAUAAGCGGAGGA
rnacentral:misc_RNA from 1 species